rnacentral:sRNA from 1 species
CCCCCCCCCCCCCAUUAAGAAAAUAAAUAAAGAAAACCAAAAGGAAUCAUACUAACAAGCACUUGUAAAAGAAGGUGAUUUUAAAAAUGCACUCGGCUUGUAUGAGUUUAAAACAUUGGCUUACCUGUACAUACAUUUCCUCGGUGUGAAUUUCUAUAUCGAAUCGUUUUGUUUUCGGGAUGUGAAGUUUUUGUGAAACAAUUCAGAAGGCAAUAUGUAAGAAUAAGUAUAAUGCCCAAAACCCAAUAAAAAACUAAUACGAAUCACAAAAUUUUCAUUGCAAACCCGGCAGUGUGUUGUGUUAGAAAAAAAUAAACAGGAAUAUGCCGUUAUACAGUCGAGUUAAAGUAACAUCGAAAGCAAAAAAUGCAUGGAAGUCACCAACAACGACAUACAUAAUCGCGUUAAAAUAGGCAUUCAAAUGCACUCUCUCAUUCAGUGUCUCUCUUUGCUUAAGUUGGUUAAAGUUUGACAAACGGGCUACGGUCGCUCUGCAGGCAGAGCAGUUCGCGUCAAAUGACAAUUCGUUCGUCGUCAUCGUGAGUGUAUUAGUAGAAAGUACCCAUGCAAAAGUAAGGCUGUGCAUAUGAGAAGUCUACGUAUAAAACAUCAAAAGUGUGUGUCAACGAAAGUUGUAGAAAAGAACUUUAAACGGAUGGUUUUGUUAUGAGAUCAUGUACAUUGAUUUGAGGUGUGCAGCGCCAUCUUAGGCAUGAAUUUUGAAUAGAGUUUGAAAAAUUGUUUUAAAGGAAGUAGCUACCAGCGGAGAAACAUAUAUACAAAGAUUUUUAAGUGACUUCUACCAAGUCUACCUAUUUUCUGCAAUAAAAUAUUAAAACCUUAAACUUCGGCAAGUGCGGAUAUCCGUGUGUUUGCAAUGUUUAAAACGGAUUCCCACGGCAAUUUAAAUGAAUUGAAUCAAUAUGUAGAGCGGAUUAAAUGCAAAUACGUAGCACUGAUACACAUCAGUCGACAUGAAGCGGCUUAAAACUCAACGCUUUAAGAUCGUCAGAAAAUCGAAGGACAACAAGAAUCGGCAUCCACCAGUGGUAGCAGUAGCACUCAAUAAGAUUUAUCUGGCCCCGCGUACAAAAGAAGGCGGCAGCCAACAAAGAUAUCGUGAUUGGGGCAUCUAGGGCACAAGAAGAAUAUCG